GAGGGUAGAGCUCAGGGGUAGAGCGAGUGCCUAGCAUGCCUGAGGGUCCUGGGUUCUAUCCCCAGUGCCUCCA
rnacentral:tRNA from 1 species